AUAUAUAUAGGCAGGGAAAAUACCACGAUGGCGAAGGUGGUUUUCCCAGGAUGAGGCUUGGCUAUUGCACUCUGAAUGUGCUGACCUCUGCGAUUUCUCCAAAAGUGGGAAACUCAACUGCAGAAUUUGUGGUGCUGGUGGGGGGCGCGCGACACACAC